CGUUUGCCUCAUUUUUUAAGUUAUUAUAUUAUAUAGAUAGGAUUUUUUGGUUUUAAACACUCCAAUCGACACCGACGAGGUCCCAGUUGGAACCUCACUUGCCACAAUUUUUUUUGUUUUUAACCAAUCUUUUUAUGCUGCAGUCCUUGCCACAUUUUUUGUUUUUAACCAAUCUUUUAUGCUGCAGUCCUUGCCACAUUUUUUGUUUUUAACCAAUCUUUUAUGCUGCAGUCCCUAGCAGGUGACGUGGAUUGGGAGAGUAGCCACCAUAGGAUAAUGAGAUAUUUUUAAAAGUAUAAAUGUUUUAUAUUUUAUGACAAUCAAAUAUUGUCAUUGAUCUAUUGUCACAAAACCCAUACAAAGUAUACUAUGAUAAUGUUUAUGACAAAGACAGAGUUUCGUCAUAAAUAGUUGUCAUCAUGUGAACGAUCGUCAUAAAUAACCUGUAUUUAUGACAAAUAGAUGCUUUGUCAUCUGGCAGUCGUCAUAGAAGCCCAGAUUUCUUGUAGUGUAGGGUUUAGAGAUGAGAGCUCUCCUCUCUUCUCUAAACUAGAGUAGAUAUAGAUAGUAGCGAGAUGGAGAGCGAAGGAGGAUUAGAGGAGAGGCCGGUCUGUCGGUUCUUCCUCCGGUUGUACUUCGUCAUGAUCAAGCUCUAAUCAAGCUUGCUCAUGGGAUGACUCUGGU
rnacentral:lncRNA from 1 species